CCUACUUUCCAUGCUCUCACAGCCUUAAACAUAAACCAGGUACAUAGCCAGGGUUAAAAAUUACAGUAGUUGGCUAGGUGGCUCACACCUGUAAGUAAUCCCAGUACUUGGGGAGGCUGAGGCAGGUGACUCGCUUGAGGUCAGGUGUUUGAGAUUAGCCUGGCCAGCAUAGUGAAACCCCAUCUCUACUAAAAAUGCAAAUAAGCCUAGCUACUUGGGAGGCUGAGACAGGAGAAUCGCUUCAACCCAGGAGGCAGAGUUUUCAGUGAGCCAAGACAGAACCACUUCACUCCAGCCAAGGUAUGGAGGUACAUACCUGAAGUCCCAGUGAGUCAGAGGGCUGAGGCAGGAGAAUCACUUGAGCCAAGGAAUUUGAGGCUGCAGUGAACUACAAUCACACCACUACACUCCAGGCUGGGUAACAGGGAAGAGCACCUUCGAGUAUCCUCAAAGAUACUAAACACUGGGUUGGACAUCAUUGGUGUAUUGUUCCUUAAUAGUAAAACAUCACGGUAAGACC
rnacentral:lncRNA from 1 species